rnacentral:rRNA from 1 species
GUUGUUGCAGUUAAAAAGCUCGUAGUUGGAUUUCUGGUGGGAGCGUCCGGUCCGCCGUAAGGUGUGUACUUGGUUGUCUCCUGUCAUCCUUGUGGGAACUGCUCUGGCAUUAAGUUGUCGGGGUUAGGGAACACAUCGUUUACUGUGAAAAAAUUAGAGUGUUUAAAGCAGGCUUAUGCCGUUGAAUACAUUAGCAUGGAAUAAUAAGAUAGGACUUUGGCGUCUAUUUUGUUGGUUUGCACACCAAGGUAAUGAUUAAUAGGGAUAGUUGGGGGUAUUCGUAUUUAAUUGUCAGAGGUGAAAUUCUUGGAUUUAUGAAAGACGAACUUCUGCGAAAGCAUUUACCAAAGAUGUUUUCAUUAAUCAAGAACGAAAGUUAGGGGAUCGAAGAUGAUUAGAUACCAUCGUAGUCUUAACCAUAAACUAUGCCGACUAGGGAUUGGCGGUCGUUCAUUAAUGACUCCGUCAGCACCUUAUGAGAAAUCAAAGUCUUUGGGUUCCGGGGGGAGUAUGGUCGCAAGGCUGAAACUUAAAGGAAUUGACGGAAGGGCACCACCAGGAGUGGAGCCUGCGGCUUAAUUUGACUCAACACGGGGAAACUUACCAGGUCCAGACAUAGUAAGGAUUGACAGAUUGAGAGCUCUUUCUUGAUUCUAUGGGUGGUGGUGCAUGGCCGUUCUU